CAGCUGUAAGGGAAAGAUCUCUGCUUGGAUCUUGCUUCUUUUCGAGUCUGUGGCGAAUCUUGAUCCUUGGAAAGGGGCACUGGAGGACCAACGCGUCUGCAGCAGCGCAACCUGGAUUUAAGUUCUGGCAGUCCUCAGAGGUGAAACCCACAAUUGGUUUCUAGCAGAAAUUAUAGCCUGAUAACUAUGGCGUUUUAACAGCCAUCAUCAGACGUGCUCCUGAAGGCUUUGCUGUGGGAAUGGAAAGAGCAGCAGGUCCCUGCCUCCACUUCAGAGCAUCCUCUGCACAAUCACACAAACCCAGAGCUGGGUAAGCACAUCCAGGACACUGCUGUGAUCUCCAUCCACCCAGGGAGCCUUUAGUGAGGCUUUCCCAAAUGCUGUCUCCAAAAAGCAUGGAAACAAGCAAGCUGGGAAGGGCAGUGCCAGCAGAUCCACGUCCAUCCAUGAAGCUCCCAGGCAGCUGCUUCCGAUGCCUCGGCACAGGAAAACCAGCCCAGGCAGCUGUGGCCUCCCCUUCCCAGCACAGCCUCCAUCUGUUGGGGGAAAAGGCCAGAUCUGCUGCUUGUCCCAGCCAGGAAGCACAAGGAUGUCUGCACUUAGCAUCCGGAGAGCUGCUGCCUUCCUGACACCGUGAUCUGGCCGUUAUCCCACUUCCCAACAGAGACACACGGAGAGGUGACCACCCCCUGGGAACAAGACCCAGUGAUGUGCACUUGAUGUCUGCACCUACUGCGUGUCCUGGAGAGGAAAAGAUUCCCAGGAUACAUGCAAAAAACCCUGGUAAUGUUUCUACGAAAGAUAAAGGAACUGUAAUGCUGCUUUUAGCAGGCAGAAAGCAGCAGCAUGUCUCUCUGCUGGCUUCCUGAAUGGGACAUUGGCACCGGGCAAUGGCCAAACCCAACAACCACUGCUCAGCAGGUUAAUAAUGCUUCAAAAAACUUCCCAGCAAUACCAUUUUUUGACAUAACUUUGAACUGUCAUCAGUGAGCAGAAAGGAUGUGAGUAACCUUGUUUUUCUCCUCGCAAAAUAAAACUCUAGCAAAACUUGCCUCCAGGUUUGCUUUACUUUUACACCAGGUUCAAUUAAUAAUAAAAAACAGAAAGCAG
rnacentral:lncRNA from 1 species